rnacentral:rRNA from 1 species
GUUGUAUGGUUAAGUGACUAAGCGUACACGGUGGAUGCCUUGGCAGUCAGAGGCGAUGAAAGACGUAGUAACUUGCGAUAAGCCCAGAUUAGGUAGUAACAACCAUUUGAGUCUGGGAUUUCUGAAUGGGGAAACCCACGUGCAUAAGCACGUAUCCUUACCUGAAUACAUAGGGUAAGGAGGCGAACCGGGGGAACUGAAACAUCUAAGUACCCCGAGGAAAAGAAAUCAACCGAGAUUCCGAAAGUAGCGGCGAGCGAAAUUGGACUAGCCCUUAAGCUUUACACGCGUUAGACGAACGGUCUGGAAAGUCCGACGAUACAGGGUGAUAGUCCCGUAGUUGACGACGUGUGUUCAGUGAAAUCGAGUAGGGCGGGACACGUGAUAUCCUGUCUGAAUAUGGGGGGACCAUCCUCCAAGGCUAAAUACUACUGACUGACCGAUAGUGAACCAGUACCGUGAGGGAAAGGCGAAAAGAACCCCUGUGAGGGGAGUGAAAUAGAACCUGAAACCGUGUACGUACAAGCAGUAGGAGCAGGCUUGUCCUGUGACUGCGUACCUUUUGUAUAAUGGGUCAGCGACUUAUAUUCAGUGGCAAGGUUAACCAUCUAGGGGAGCCGUAGGGAAACCGAGUCUUAACUGGGCGUUCAGUCUCUGGAUAUAGACCCGAAACCAGGUGAUCUAGCCAUGGGCAGGUUGAAGGUUGAGUAACAUCAACUGGAGGACCGAACCGACUAAUGUUGAAAAAUUAGCGGAUGACUUGUGGCUAGGGGUGAAAGGCCAAUCAAACCUGGAGAUAGCUGGUUCUCCCCGAAAGCUAUUUAGGUAGCGCCUCGGACGAAUACUACUGGGGGUAGAGCACUGUUAAGGCUAGGGGGUCAUCCCGACUUACCAACCCUUUGCAAACUCCGAAUACCAGUAAGUACUAUCCGGGAGACACACGGCGGGUGCUAACGUCCGUCGUGGAGAGGGAAACAACCCAGACCGCCAGCUAAGGUCCCAAAUUACUACUAAGUGGGAAACGAUGUGGGAAGGCUCAGACAGCCAGGAUGUUGGCUUAGAAGCAGCCAUCAUUUAAAGAAAGCGUAAUAGCUCACUGGUCGAGUCGGCCUGCGCGGAAGAUGUAACGGGGCUAAGUAGUAAACCGAAGCUGCGGCAAUAUACUUUUGUAUAUUGGGUAGGGGAGCGUUCUGUAAGCGGUUGAAGGUGUGUGGUAACGCAUGCUGGACGUAUCAGAAGUGCGAAUGCUGACAUGAGUAACGAUAAAGGGGGUGAAAAACCUCCUCGCCGGAAGACCAAGGGUUCCUGUCCAACGUUAAUCGGGGCAGGGUAAGUCGACCCCUAAGGCGAGGCCGAAAGGCGUAGUCGAUGGGAAACGGGUUAAUAUUCCCGUACUUCUUACAAUUGCGAUGGGGGGACGGAGAAGGCUAGGUGGGCCUGGCGACGGUUGUCCAGGUUCAAGUGCGUAGGCUUAAGAGUUAGGUAAAUCCGGCUCUUUCUAAGGCUGAGACACGACGUCGAGCACCUACGGGUGUGAAGUCAUUGAUGCCAUGCUUCCAGGAAAAGCCUCUAAGCUUCAGAUUGUAAGGAAUCGUACCCCAAACCGACACAGGUGGUCGGGUAGAGAAUACCAAGGCGCUUGAGAGAACUCGGGUGAAGGAACUAGGCAAAAUGGUACCGUAACUUCGGGAGAAGGUACGCUCUCGACGGUGAAGUCCCUCGCGGAUGGAGCUGACGAGAGUCGCAGAUACCAGGUGGCUGCAACUGUUUAUUAAAAACACAGCACUGUGCAAAAUCGUAAGAUGACGUAUACGGUGUGACGCCUGCCCGGUGCCGGAAGGUUAAUUGAUGGGGUUAGACUUCGGUCGAAGCUCUUGAUCGAAGCCCCGGUAAACGGCGGCCGUAACUAUAACGGUCCUAAGGUAGCGAAAUUCCUUGUCGGGUAAGUUCCGACCUGCACGAAUGGCGUAAUGAUGGCCACGCUGUCUCCACCCGAGACUCAGUGAAAUUGAAAUCGCUGUGAAGAUGCAGUGUACCCGCGGCUAGACGGAAAGACCCCGUGAACCUUUACUACAGCUUGGCACUGAACAUUGACCCUACAUGUGUAGGAUAGGUGGGAGGCUUUGAAGCACGUACGCCAGUAUGUGUGGAGCCGUCCUUGAAAUACCACCCUUGUAGUGUUGAUGUUCUAACGUCGACCCCUAAUCGGGGUUGCGGACAGUGCCUGGUGGGUAGUUUGACUGGGGCGGUCUCCUCCCAAAGAGUAACGGAGGAGCACGAAGGUGGGCUAAUCACGGUUGGACAUCGUGAGGUUAGUGCAAUGGCAUAAGCCCGCUUGACUGCGAGAAUGACAAUUCGAGCAGGUGCGAAAGCAGGUCAUAGUGAUCCGGUGGUUCUGAAUGGAAGGGCCAUCGCUCAACGGAUAAAAGGUACUCCGGGGAUAACAGGCUGAUACCGCCCAAGAGUUCAUAUCGACGGCGGUGUUUGGCACCUCGAUGUCGGCUCAUCACAUCCUGGGGCUGAAGUCGGUCCCAAGGGUAUGGCUGUUCGCCAUUUAAAGUGGUACGCGAGCUGGGUUUAGAACGUCGUGAGACAGUUCGGUCCCUAUCUGUCGUGGGCGUUGGAAGAUUGAAGGGGGCUGCUCCUAGUACGAGAGGACCGGAGUGGACGAACCUCUGGUGUUCGGGUUGUAUCGCCAGACGCAUUGCCCGGUAGCUAAGUUCGGAAUCGAUAACCGCUGAAAGCAUCUAAGCGGGAAGCGAGCCCUGAGAUGAGUCUUCCCUGAUACUUUAAGUAUCCUAAAGGGUUGUCGGAGACUACGACGUUGAUAGGUCAGGUGUGUAAGUGCUGUGAGGCAUUGAGCUAACUGAUACUAAUUGCCCGUGAGGCUUAACCAUACAACACCCAAGGGGUUU